GCGGUUAUGGCUCAGUUGGUUAGAGCGUCGGUCUCAUAACGUACAGCUCUCGAAGCUCAAACACGACAUCAACACGACUGAGAUCAUAAAGAUCCCACUUCCCCUUCCCCGACGAACGUCGGAGAGCGAUCCGAAGGUCACCGGUUCGAUCCCGGUUAACCGCA
rnacentral:tRNA from 1 species